rnacentral:piRNA from 1 species
UGAAACCGAUGGGCUCCAUCUAGCUGUG